CCCAACGAGAUCGGGAUAACACCUGGAAACAGAUGCUAAUACCGGAUAACAACAGAUGAUGCCUAUCAACUGUUUAAAAGAUGGUUCUGCUAUCACUCUUGGAUGGACCUGCGGUGCAUUAGCUAGUUGGUAGGGUAACGGCCUGCCAAGGCGAUGAUGCAUAGCCGAGUUGAGAGACUGAUCGGCCACAUUGGGACUGAGACACGGCCCAAACUCCUACGGGAGGCAGCAGGC
rnacentral:rRNA from 1 species